GAGUAUUGGACAAUGGGCGCAAGCCUGAUCCAGCCAUACCGCGUGGGUGAAGAAGGCCUUCGGGUUGUAAAGCCCUUUUGUUGGGAAAGAAAAGCAGUCGGCUAAUACGCGGUUGUUCUGACGGUACCCAAAGAAUAAGCAACGGAUAACUUCGUCCCAGCAGCCGCGGUAAUACGUAGGGUGCAAGCGUUACUCGGAAUUACUGGGCGUAAAUCGUUCGUAGGUGGUUGUUUAAGUCUGUUGUGAAAGCCCUGGGCUCAACCUGGGAAUUGCAGUGGAUACUGGGCGACUAGAGUGUGGUAGAGGGUAUUGGAAUUCCCGGUGUAGCAGUGAAAUGCGUAUAGAUCGGGAGGAACAUCCAUGGCGAAGGCAGCUACCUGGACCAACACUGACACCGAGGCACGAAAGCGUGGGGAGCAAACAGG
rnacentral:rRNA from 1 species